CUCCUAUGCUAGGUGUCUCUCUUGAUCUCUCACUCUCUUUCUCACAUGGUCGAAAAAUGAAGAAGGCUUGGAUGAAUGGAAGGGUACGUACAGAGGCUUCUCUAGGAGACAGGCUUCGAACAGAGAUGAUGCGACAACACCAUUGUUUGACGGUAACUCUCUCUCUCUCUCUCUCUAUCUCGCUCCCUCAGUCUCUCUUUCUCUCUUUGAGACACUGUCUCGUCCGAUCUUCUCUCUGUUUGUUGCAGAUGUGCGACAGGGUGAUGGAACUUGAGGCUUGGGGCAUGCGACAGGGAGGUUUGGUCAUUUAUUCUACAGGGUGGCUCAGUUGUGGGUGUGAUGGUGCUUGCAGGGGCAGUUCAUGAGACGGGUUCGACUUCGGCAAGGUUGUACUUCAACAAAUGAUUUCUUCUAGGGGAUUUUACUUUGAUUUCCAAAAGGCAUGUGAAGUGUUAAGAAAUUGAAGAUAAGGUUAUCUGGAUUACUAGUGCUAGUCGUGGAAUUGGUACAUAUAUAUAUUUACAUUUUUGUUUCAAAAUUUCAUUUUCUGUAUGUGUACUGGUUAAUUGAACUAUAUUUUUGUUAUUUCUUAAUUAUUUUCUUCUAGGGUGUUUAAAUUAGUUAAAUACUUUAUGUUAAUGCCACUUCAUUGGACAAGGUUGAUAAAAUUUUGGGCUAUUCUUUUCUUAAAUGAUUAAAACACAUAUUUUAAAUAUUCUCAGUUUGGUUUCUCUUCAAGUUGUAAUUUAAAAAAAUAAAAACAAAAACAAAGACGCAUUGUUGCUUCAAAACCUUCAUGUGUUCCUUUAUGCUGGUAGUUUUCACCACAAAUGUGUCAAGAUUAUGAUAUACUCAAUCAAAUUGGCUCGUGUUGUUAGAAUCAUUGUAAGCUGACACAUAACGCACAAUUUAACCUUUAUUGGAUUCAUUGCUGUUACUUAGCUUCACUGAGUGCAAAGGUACACUAGCAUGAAGAACUGCCAUAUACUGUGUUGAGCUAGUUUGAGGAUAAUGUAGAUCUUUAGUUUAGAGUUUAGGCAGUCUAAAAUAACAUAGGGGGUUCUAUGUAGAACUUUAGUUUAGAGUUUAGGCAGUCUAAAAGUAAAGUCUUUUAUAAGCAUAUGAACUUUCAGAAAGGAUAACAGUUUUUGUAAAUUGAGAUUACUACUAGGAACUUAGCAUAUUUGUAAAUUGAGGCUCGUUGAUGGUCUUUUUUUAUAUUAUUCCAUUACACAUUGCAUUUUUAUUAUAAAGUUGUCUCUGUAAGAUUAUCUAUUAUACUCAUGCCUAAUUAAUCUUUGAGUGACAUUUGACUUUGUUGCAGAUGCUAUAUUACAAGAUGACCAUAUGUGUGUCCAUAUAUUUUUUCAUAGAGUAUGAGUUCAAAAAGAAUUUCAAGGGCUUUAUGUGGAUCUCCUUGAUUUAAGGUGUGAUUUCUACCAUGCUAUAUUAAGUUGAAUUAGAACCUGAAGAGAUGUUUAGUUCCAAUACAAUUCUUUAUUUAUUGGGAUAAAUAACAAUCUUAUUUAGAUGAAAGACCCUCAUUUAAAUUUUGAUACAAGCACACCUAUUUUUUCAAGCAAGUGUUGUUCCAAACAUUCAAUCCACAAAACAAAGU